CCUCUCGUAUUUUUUUCUUCAAGGACUUUUUUCCCAGAGCAACAUCUCUUUUUCAUAUACACACACAAACUCUCGUCAUGCCAGAGUCCGCAGACGUUCCUGCCCAGUGCCAGGUGCUCAAAGAGGAAGUGGACAAAUGUGUCCAGGCGAAGGGGCCAGAGGGCUGUAAGGAGCUGCUGGAGGCUUUUGAGGCCUGUGUGAAAAGCGCCGCUGCAGCCUCAUGAGAGGAAAAAUGUCUGUUUCAAAGGUGCUCCUUCUUUGGGUCCUCCAAUAUCCCUGCAUUCCUCACUGCAUUGUGCGCUGGACUGAACCAUUUUAACGACGGCAGAGGGGGUGUCGGUGCCGCAAAGUCCAGGAAUUUGCCUCUUCUGAAAUGGAGACGUCUUGAUGAUGUCACUGAUAAUGCCCAUGUCAUUUGUAAACAUAGCAGCAAGAAGAAGCCACUGUAUUUAGAUCUGGUCAUCAGUUAUUUCUCUUUAUGUAGGAAAAACAAUGUUCAGUUAAGAUUUUUCAAUAAAAUCAGUAUAACUGUUAA